CUCAGAAUCAACGCUGGCGGCGUGCCUCAGACAUGCAAGUCGAACGAUUAAAGCUCUCUUCGGAGAGUGUAUAGAGUGGCGCACGGGUGAGUAACACGUAAGUAAUCUACCCUCGAGUGGGGAAUAACAACCGGAAACGGUUGCUAAUACCGCAUAAUGCAGCGGCACCGCAAGGUGACAGUUGUUAAAGAUUUAUCGCUUGAGGAGGAGCUUGCGGCAGAUUAGCUAGUUGGUAGGGUAACGGGCUUACCAAGGCUACGAUCUGUAACCGGUCUAAGAGGACGGUCGGUCACACUGACACUGAAUAACGGGUCAGACUCCUACGGGAGGCAGCAGUCGGGAAUUUUGGGCAAUGGGCGAAAGCCUGACCCAGCAACGCCGCGUGAAGGAUGAAGUAUUUCGGUAUGUAAACUUCGAAAGAAUAGGAAGAAUUAAUGACGGUACUAUUUAUAAGGUCCGGCUAACUACGUG
rnacentral:rRNA from 1 species